rnacentral:rRNA from 1 species
ACGGGUGAGUAACACGUGGAUAACCUACCUAUAAGACUGGGAUAACUUCGGGAAACCGGAGCUAAUACCGGAUAAUAUAUUGAACCGCAUGGUUCAAUAGUGAAAGACGGUUUUGCUGUCACUUAUAGAUGGAUCCGCGCCGCAUUAGCUAGUUGGUAAGGUAACGGCUUACCAAGGCAACGAUGCGUAGCCGACCUGAGAGGGUGAUCGGCCACACUGGAACUGAGACACGGUCCAGACUCCUACGGGAGGCAGCAGUAGGGAAUCUUCCGCAAUGGGCGAAAGCCUGACGGAGCAACGCCGCGUGAGUGAUGAAGGUCUUCGGAUCGUAAAACUCUGUUAUUAGGGAAGAACAAAUGUGUAAGUAACUAUGCACGUCUUGACGGUACCUAAUCAGAAAGCCACGGCUAACUACGUGCCAGCAGCCGCGGUAAUACGUAGGUGGCAAGCGUUAUCCGGAAUUAUUGGGCGUAAAGCGCGCGUAGGCGGUUUUUUAAGUCUGAUGUGAAAGCCCACGGCUCAACCGUGGAGGGUCAUUGGAAACUGGAAAACUUGAGUGCAGAAGAGGAAAGUGGAAUU